rnacentral:lncRNA from 11 species
GCGAUUGUGUGUGGUGUUAAGCUUCUAGCUGUUUUCUAUGUUUAUUAUGUGCUCUGUUUAGAUUGUUGAACAGUCUUGGCCAUACUUUGGGGCAAUUAUGGAAAAAACAUUCAAGGAAGUCCUUGAACCAAAAAUCAGAGCAAAGCAUGUGCACCUGAGAACAUGUACAUUCACCAAGAUCCACUUUGGAAAUAAGUGCCCUAAAAUCAAAGGAGUGAAGGCUUAUACCAAAGAAGUGGAUAGAAGACAAGUGAUGCUGGAUUUGCAAAUAUGUUAUAUAGGAGACUGUGAAGUUCACAUGGAAUUGUCCAAGUUUAAAGUAGGAGUGAAGGGCAUCCAGCUGUAUGGAACUCUGCGAGUGAUCCUCGAGCCCCUAUUGACAGAUAUACCUUUUGUAGGAGCUGUAACUCUAUUUUUCAUCCAGAAACCUCACCUGGAAAUCAACUGGGCAGGACUCACCAACCUAUUAGAUGCUCCAGGCAUUAGUAUAUUGUCAGACUCUUUAAUACAAGAUUUCAUAGUUUCCCGGCUGGUGUUGCCAAAUAGAAUCACCAUCCCACUGAAGAAGAACAUUAAUAUCGAUCAGUUACGGUUCCCUAUUCCACGUGUGAGUUACAUCUGAGAACAGUGCAUGCAAAACAUGUUAGCCAAUCCCCUGGGCUAAGGUUUCCAAAUCUAAAGGCCUUCUCUAGAGAAGUGAAAGCCCUUCUUUACCUUUGUUGUUCUUCCUACCUGACAUGUGGUAGAGGUGGUGGCAUAUAUAGUAUGUGCCAUAUACCUGCC